rnacentral:rRNA from 1 species
AGAAUGAACGCUGGCGGCGUGCUUUACACAUGCAAGUCGAGCGAGGCGGAAUGGGGGUAACCCCGUUCCAGUCGAGCGGCGAACGGGUGAGUAACGCGUGGAUACCUACCUCGAGGUGGGGGAUAACCCGGGGAAACUCGGGCUAAUACCGCAUAACAUCUACGGAUCAAAGGGGGCGCAAGCUCCCGCCGUGAGAGGGGUCCGCGUCCGAUUAGCUAGUUGGUAGGGUAAUGGCCUACCAAGGCGACGAUCGGUAGCCGGCCUGAGAGGGUGAUCGGCCACACUGGAACUGAGACACGGUCCAGACUCCUACGGGAGGCAGCAGUGGGGAAUUUUGCGCAAUGGGCGAAAGCCUGACGCAGCAACGCCGCGUGGAGGAUGAAGGUCUUCGGAUUGUAAACUCCUGUCAGUAGGGACGAAGGCUUCUGACCUAAUACGUCAGGAGAUUGACGGUACCUGCAGAGGAAGCCCCGGACUAACUCUGUGCCAGCAGCCGC